ensembl:lncRNA
GCAGCUGUGGCAUGCGGGACCUGUCGGUGGUCUGGAUAGCAUUUGGAGCUUCGCUAGCAACCUGGCAUUUCAUCUCCGACAAAGUUAUCCCCGAGAGAAGUAAAGCAAGUGUAGGGAUUCCUCUGUGGAUCUGCAGAGAAAUAAAAGCUGAAUCCGUAACUGGAGGCUGCCUAAAAACCACGAUGCUUCAAAUGCUUGGAACGAUGGACUGCAGAUUGUUUGGAAUUGGCCUUAGACCCAUUGCAUGGCUGAUGGGACACUGCUUCUUGAACAUCACCGGUGAUGCCUUUCCCUCUUGGCACUGCAUCAAUAUGUACUGUACCUGAAUGUUCCAGACCACUGCUUUUAUAGUAGUGUUCACACUUCAGUCAAGUGCAUUUA